AAGACUAUACUUUCAGGGAUCAUUUCUAUAGUUCUUUACUAGCUUUACGUGGCCUAUACUGCUGUGCUCACACCCACCUCUGGGUUG
ensembl:snoRNA U3 Small nucleolar RNA U3